CAAGUCGAGGGGCAGCAGGACGGUAGCAAUACCGUUGCUGGCGACCGGCAAACGGGUGCGGAACACGUACGCAACUUACCCAUAACUGGGGGAUAGCCCGGGGAAACCCGGAUUAAUACCUCGUAACAUCAUUGAGUGGCAUCACUUGAUGAUUAUAGCUCCGGCGGUUAUGGAUGGGCGUGCGGCUGAUUAGGUAGUUGGCGGGGUAACGGCCCACCAAGCCUGCGAUCAGUAACUGGUGUGAGAGCACGACCAGUCACACGGGCACUGAGACACGGGCCCGACUCCUACGGGAGGCAGCAGUAAGGAAUAUUGGUCAAUGGACGCAAGUCUGAACCAGCCAUGCCGCGUGAAGGAUGAAGGUCCUCUGGAUUGUAAACUUCUUUUAUAUGGGACGAAACCCGGGUAUUCCUACCCGAUUGACGGUACCAUAGGAAUAAGCACCGGCUAACUCCGUGCCAGCAGCCGCGGUAAUACGGAGGGUGCAAGCGUUAUCCGGAUUCACUGGGUUUAAAGGGUGCGUAGGAGGGCAGGUAAGUCAGUGGUGAAAUCUCCGGGCUUAACUCGGAAACUGCCGUUGAUACUAUCUGUCUUGAAUACCGUGGAGGUGAGCGGAAUAUGUCAUGUAGCGGUGAAAUGCUUAGAUAUGACAUAGAACACCGAUUGCGAAGGCAGCUCACUACACGAAUAUUGACUCUGAGGCACGAAAGCGUGGGGAUCAAACAGGAUUAGAUACCCUGGUAGUCCACGCCCUAAACUAUGGAUACUCGACAUACGCGAUACACUGUGUGUGUCUGAGCGAAAGCAUUAAGUAU
rnacentral:rRNA from 1 species